AACGAACGCUGGCGGCAGGCUUAACACAUGCAAGUCGAGCGCCCCGCAAGGGGAGCGGCAGACGGGUGAGUAACGCGUGGGAAUCUACCGUGCCCUACGGAAUAACGCAUGGAAACGUGUGCUAAUACCGCAUACGCCCUACGGGGGAAAGAUUUAUCGCCAGAAGAGGAGCCCGCGUCCGAUUAGGUAGUUGGUAGGGUAAUGGCCUACCAAGCCGACGAUCGGGAGCUGGUCUGAGAGGAUGAUCAGCCACACUGGGACUGAGAUACGGCCCAGACUCCUACGGGAGGCAGCAGUGGGGAAUAUUGGACAAUGGGGGCAACCCUGAUCCAGCAAUGCCGCGUGAGUGAUGAAGGCCUUAGGGUUGUAAAGCUCUUUUGCCAGGGAAGAUGAUGACUGUACCUGGAGAAUAAGCCCCGGCUAACUUCGUGCCAGCAGCCGCAGUAAUAC
rnacentral:rRNA from 1 species